AGUGAACGCUGGCGGUAGGCCUAACACAUGCAAGUCGAACGGCAGCACAGUAAGAGCUUGCUCUUACGGGUGGCGAGUGGCGGACGGGUGAGGAAUACAUCGGAAUCUACUUUUUCGUGGGGGAUAACGUAGGGAAACUUACGCUAAUACCGCAUACGACCUACGGGUGAAAGCAGGGGAUCUUCGGACCUUGCGCGAUUGAAUGAGCCGAUGUCGGAUUAGCUAGUUGGCGGGGUAAAGGCCCACCAAGGCGACGAUCCGUAGCUGGUCUGAGAGGAUGAUAAGCCACACUGGAACUGGGACACGGUCCAGACUCCUACGGGAGGCAGCAGUGGGGAAUAUUGGACAAAGGGCGCAAGCCUGAUCCAGCCAUACCGCGUGGGUGAAGAAGGCCUUCGGGUUGUAAAGCCCUUUUGUUGGGAAAGAAAAGCAGCAGGUUAAUACCCCGCUGUUCUGACGGUACCCAAAGAAUAAGCACCGGCUAACUUCGUG
rnacentral:rRNA from 1 species